rnacentral:rRNA from 1 species
UCGAGAAUCUUCGGCAAUGGGCGCAAGCCUGACCGAGCGACGCCGCGUGUGGGAUGAAGGCCUUCGGGUUGUAAACCACUGUCAACGGGGAGGAAAUACAGGAGGGUCAUCCCUCUUGUUUGACCUAUCUGUGGAGGAAGUACGGGCUAAGUUCGUGCCAGCAGCCGCGGUAAGACGAACCGUACGAACGUUAUUCGGAAUUACUGGGCUUAAAGGGUGCGUAGGCUGCGUGGAAAGUUGGGUGUGAAAGCCCUCAGCUCAACUGAGGAAUUGCACUCAAAACUACCAUGCUCGAGGGAGACAGAGGUAAGCGGAACUCAAGGUGGAGCGGUGAAAUGCGUUGAUAUCUUGAGGAACACCGGUGGCGAAGGCGGCUUACUGGGUCUUUUCUGACGCUGAGGCACGAAAGCCAAGGUAGCAAACGGG